UACAGAGGGGGCGAGCGUUGUUCGGAAUUACUGGGCGUAAAGGGCGCGUAGGCGGCCUGCUAUGUCGAACGUGAAAUCCCCGGGCUCAACCCGGGAACUGCGUCCGAAACUGGCAGGCUUGAAUCCGGGAGAGGGAUGUAGAAUUCCAGGUGUAGCGGUGAAAUGCGUAGAUAUCUGGAGGAACACCGGUGGCGAAGGCGGCAUCCUGGACCGGUAUUGACGCUGAGGCGCGAAAGCCAGGGGAGCAAACGGG
rnacentral:rRNA from 1 species